UGUAGUUCAGUGGUAGAACGCAUGCUUAGCAUGUGUGGGGCCCUGGGUUCAAUCCCCAGCA
rnacentral:tRNA from 1 species